GACCACUUCACAGAUGAAGUCAAGGCCAUACGGACAGCCGGGUCCACUGCCGA
rnacentral:sRNA from 1 species